rnacentral:rRNA from 1 species
AGAACGAACGCUGGCGGCAUGCCUAACACAUGCAAGUCGAACGAGACCUUUCGGGGUCUAGUGGCGCACGGGUGCGUAACGCGUGGGAAUCUGCCCCUUGGUUCGGAAUAACAGUUAGAAAUGACUGCUAAUACCGGAUGACGACGUAAGUCCAAAGAUUUAUCGCCGAGGGAUGAGCCCGCGUAGGAUUAGCUAGUUGGUGAGGUAAUGGCUCACCAAGGCGACGACGGGUAGCC